AUGAAAACGCAUGGGGCUUCUCCUUCGGAUCUCUUGCGCGACUCCCAGCGGUCGUCUUCGCUCAGUCUGCAAUUUCGGUUUCAACCUUGCUUCUCCUUCGUCAUCAUGCCGUCUCGAUCCUUGCUGCGGAUUCGAACAUCUCCGCCUCACCUCAUCGGUUUCACCGAC